rnacentral:lncRNA from 1 species
GUAGGACUUCAACAUGGUGGCUGUGGACAAGGUGACGGCCUGGCUCAGGGUGGGUAAAGUAGGGAGUGGUGGCAUUUGCUUUCCCUAGGGGGGUUGGGAGCUCAGCGACGAUCGAGCCUGAGAGGCCAGCCGUCACGAGCACCUUUCAGCUUUUGGAACAGCAGUGGGAUUCAGGUUCUAAAUGGCUUCUAAAAAGUUGGGUGCAGAUUUUCAUAUAUGACUUCUCCUUGGAAUAGAAAACCACUGAGUGGGGUGAAGUUGUUAAGAAAAUCCAAGAAGCCCUGCAGGAAGAGAGCACAAGGCUGAGGAAGCAGAAGCUAAAGUGAAUUCUAAGAGUGGCCCAGAGGGUGAUAGCAAAAUGAGCUUCUCCAAGACUUACAGUACAGCCACUAUGGAACCUCCUAUAACCCUAUCCUUGCCAGCUUACAGCACAACAACAUCCUCACUCCGACUCGGGUCAGCAGUAAUGCCAUGAAACAGAAAGUUCUCAGCCCACCCCACACAAAGUCUGAUUUCAAUCUUGCUGACUUUGAAUGUGAAAAAGACCCAUUUGAUAAUCUGCAGUUAAAAACUAUUGAUGAGAAGGAGGAGCUGAGAAACAUUCUGGUAGGAACUACUGGACCCAUUAUGGCUCAGUUAUUGGACAGUAACUUGCCCAGAGGCAGUUCUGGGUCUGUGUUAUAGGAUGAGGAGGUCUUGGUGUCCUUGGAGCCGUGCAACCCUGGAUUUCAAGCCUCUUCAUAAACCCAAUGGCUUUAUAACUUUACCACAGUUAGACAACUAUGAAGAUAUGUCACUGUCUUCCAAAAUGUCCCUUCCUCCUAUCCCUACAGUAAGCAAUAUCAAAUCUCUGUCCUUUCCCAAACUUGACUCUGAUGACAGCAGUCAGAAGACAGUCAAGCUGGUGAGCACUUUCCAUAGCACAUCCUGCCUCCGCAGUGGCACCUUCCAAAAUUCCCGAAAGCCUUCUACCCAAAGCAGUGCCAGUGAGAUCAAUGGGGACCAUACUUUUGGGCUUUCAGCUUUGAACUUGGAUAGUGGCACACAGGUGCCAACUCUGACAACAUCCCACAUGCCUUCCUUGUCUGUUUUGUCUCUGUGCACAAAAGAAUUAUCACCUUCAAAUGCAGGUCCCACAAUUCUUGACUAUCUUUUUGUACAUGGACAGCUUUGUGAGAAGGGCUUCGACCCCCUUUUAGUGGAAGAGGCUCUGGAAAUGCACCAGUAUUCAGAAGAAAAGAUGAUGGAGUUUCUUCAGUUAAUGAGCAAAUUUAAGGAAAUGGGCUUUGAAGUGAAUGAAGGACAUUAAGGAAACUUUGCUAUUAUGCAGCAAUGACCAGGACAAUGUUUUGAAAGACCUCAUGGCUUGAGCUGGAGCCAGCUGAGGCCAGGCCUUGUCUAGGCCCUGCCACAGAACCACCACCCCCAGCAGGCCCUGCAGAGCUCACCUGUGGGGAAGGAGAAGGGGCAUACUUCCCAAUUUUCUUUUGGGGGUUAGAAGAUCAGGUGUGGAGAUUCUAUGAGCCUAGGUCUUGAGCUGAAGAGAAAGUAGGGAAGAUUUGGGGAUGUUAAUGCCCCAGACCCAUCCCAGCUCCUUCCAUAUUAAAUUUAUUUGUAUUUUAAGAAGUCUCCUUCCCACCUUGGCCCUCCAGAUAGACUACCUGGGUCUUUCUGGUGUCUCUGCAUCCUCACCCAGAACCUAGCUUGGCUGUCAAGAAGAGUGGGGAGAAAAGGGGAGGGCCAGACUCAGCACUGGUUUGAGGCUAGAAGCUUCCCCUUCUGUCUGCACUUAGUUUUAAUCCAAGUGGAAGUGAAAGGUUCUUCCAGGGUUUUAUUCAUUUCCUCACCUUUUAAUAAAGUCUUAGUGUUGUGCUGGUUCUGUAAUGUCUCUGAGGUACAGAAAAUGCACUUUUCCCUUGGGGCUGAGUUUGCCUCUUCUGCCAGGCAGUCACACCAUGCUUUCUUGUCCAGACUGUUUCUUUCACUGUGGUUUGAACCACAAUCUUCUGCUGUCCAGGGCUUCAGAGCUCCUACUUUAGGAAACCAGUGCCAAUCAUUGACCCCUUCCCAGCACAAUUGAAUGGGUGAGAAAGCAGUUCACGACUUAAGUCACCGAGCACUAACACGCCCAUGGUUCUCUGUGAACAGUCUUCUCAGCCCUGCUUUAGGAUGACACAAGUAACACACCUAGGCAUAGAAAUCAGUCUCUUUGGUUUGUUUUGUAUUAUCGUGUAUAUCAUUAAAGAUCUAAAUACAAAGGAUACACAGUCUUCAUGAAUCUAAAAUAAUUUGCUAACUAUUUUGAUUCUUCAGAGAGAACUAAUAAAAAUCUAAAGGAAAAAAAAGUUUCUGAGUCUACUUUCUGCAGGUUUAUCAAACACUGGGGUUGCCAUAGAUAUUUUCCAAU